rnacentral:misc_RNA from 1 species
GAGCGUGACCUUGUACGCAUUUUAAAGGAUGCUGAUACAAGCCGUAACAUACCGGGCAAAGUGAAAGUCUCUGCUCCUAAUCUUCAUAAGGCAAAGGGAAAAUAAAAGGAUUCCUUAGGAAAAACACUCUACUGAAAUUUGUUUGAGUGGGGAAAAACAGAUUUCAUGUGUACAUCUACUAGAUAAUCUGAAAACAUGUGGACAAGAUGAAACUGUUUACAUAUAUUAUUAAACUGGUAAAAUAAG